GAUCAGGUUGCGCUGCCCCAGGACCUGCACCAGGGAUGUGCGUGCUCGGAGGAGGCACCCCCAGCCCACCAGCGUUAAACCAGAAGUCAGCGGCGGCGCCCCAAGGUGAGGCUCCCCCUUCACAGCCAGGAGAUGCUCCGCCAGCUGCUUUCCUGACAGGACACACCCGCUGCUGGGUCCUGCCCCUGUGAGGUGCUCAUUUACAGCAUGGAGUUCCAUAGCACUCAUGUUUCUAUGGAAACAGAUCAGGACUUCGUGCCACUGGAGACACCCUUGUGGAGGUGUUGAUAUAAAGCCAGAAGAUGUGAGGUGACCCAUCUGUGUUAUGGGAUUAAAACAAGACCUGACAAAGACAGCAGGCAAAGGCCCUUUACCCAGAGGCUGCGGGGCUGUGGCAACACCACAGCAGAGACGGGUGGGAACAUGUUCCCAGUGUGGCAGAGCAGGGCUCCCGGGGUCUGUGGGGCCCCACUGGAGGUGGAGGAAGGUACCAUCAAGAUGAAGCCAAAUGACAUGCGGAUAUAACAAGGAAGGAGCAGCUGGUGGGACAGUCUUUGCAUAUCAUGGACAGCGCCCACUGACCGCCCCCCAUCCCCCAACACAACCACAUUUCCUAACGUCCUGACUUUUACUAUUGAUAUUUUUAUUCACAGGAAGUGUUCUGCAAACAUCCUCUGCUUGAUUAGCACCGAAGACAACAACUCUCUCAGGAUCCAUAUAAAACUCUCUUGAUCAGUCAGUAAUUUCCACUGUCUUAUGCAAGCACUAACUUAGCAAUAUUGAUGCAAAAUACCUUCUCCUUCUAAACAAGAGAACACUAAAAUGAAAAUGUUUCUGCAAAGGAGUUGUGCUUCAAAGACCUGAUGGAGAUGCUUUUAGGAACGCCUGUAACAGAUAAGUAAAUGAUUUGAUCAUUGACUUUGGCGACUAGAAGAGAACUGAUAAUGGAAUGUUUGCUUUUCUUGUGAUUUUAACACUCAGUUUCAACUCUUAUGGCAUGAAUUUAAAAUUAAAUAUGUG
ensembl:lncRNA